rnacentral:lncRNA from 1 species
UGUCAAUUGCUCCAGUGUACAUAUCCUCUAAGCUGUAUUUAAAUUCGAACCCCAUUUCUUUGAUCUUCUUUGAUGAAAAUCUGACAAGCUCCAAUUCAUCUGGAAUAUUCUUGAACAUGAUAAAAAUCCAAUGCAAUAUCAGCUCAACAUGGAUGUUUAUCUUGUAGUUUUGUACAUAAAUAAGUGAUUCUGAAAUAUUUGAACGUGAACACUCGGGCAAAGUAGCUUGGAAGACUUACUUAGUGGGGACAUUGUACUCUGGAUACUUUGAGUUAAUUAACUUUGCAAUGUCAUGGAUAGUAGCCUCAGAUGCAGACAAGAUAUACCUUCCUUCUGAUUCAGGGUGCUCAAACAGGAAAAUAUGGGCUAGACAAAGAUCAUCCAAAUGGACAAAUUGGCCUUGCUUUAUGAUCGAAUAAUGGGCCUCGUUUCCUGCCAAUUUAAUUAAGAGCAAGACUUUAGCAUAUACAUUUUUUGUUUGUUUUCAAACUAACUUUAGCAUAUAAUUUCUUUUAUUAGUUGCCACUAGAGUAUGGAUACAACGUUCAAAUGUAAUGUCAAGUAAGCAUGAAAACAAUACACAAAUAUAAUGAUAGAACUUUGAACUAUCAUUGUACCGGUGAUGGGAGAAAGAGCGGUGAUUAGGCUAGGUGGCAUUGUUGGCAUUAGAAAGGAACCAACAACAAGGGAUGGAAUGGUUGUAAUGAAGUCAAUGUCAUGCUCUUUGGCAAAUUUCCAUGCUUCUUGCUCUGCCAGUGUCUUUGAAACAAAAUACAUCUACAAAAAAUGAAACCAAGAUAAAACUAAUCAUUAUGAUCGAUUGGGUACAUUUUAAAAUUUGAAGAAAAAUUCAAAUAAAAAUACUAACCCAACCAGUCAUCUUUACUCUCCGGCAGAACUCAACGUCACUCCAGCAGCUUUCAUCAAACAUUUGUUUUUGGUGCUCUACAGCGUCGAGGGUACCUGCGGAGGAUGUGAAAACCAGCCUCCGUACAGUUUUAGCCUUCUGGCAUGCUUUCAUGAUGUCUAGCACCCCGUUUAUGGUAGGCUUGAUCACUUCAUUCUGCACUUCCAAUCAAAUUUGGAACCAUAUCAUAUUCAAUACUCUCCAAUAUCAUUAAUAUUACAUUAACAUUUCAAAAAUUUUGCCACUAACUUUCAUUAACUACAUUAAUGAUUAACCUUAUCAGUUCUCUUUUAUGCGAUGCAACUGGAAGAUGAAGAUACGUUAAAUGACGUGAUAAUAAAAGAAGAAAGAUAAGAAGAAAAAAUAUGUUAAAAUUGAAUGAAAAUGAAAGUGUAAAACCUGGUACUAUGCUUAGAAAUCAAGUGUAAAUUUUAUAGAUGCCCAGACAUCAAAGUACAUGGCCCAUUAAUAAUAAUCACUUUACCUCAGGAUCCUUGGAAUUAAAGUCCAUGGGGGUGGCCAAAUGGAAAACUCCGGAGCACCCAUUGAUGGCUUCAUCAAAGCUUCCCUCUUCAGUAAGAUCGGCGUUCCAAAUAGUAAGGUUGGUCUUUGCACCAGGCAGUUCCAGCAAAUGCUUCACCUUCUUCAUGUUUUCUGCACCAUAUAUACACACAUACAUACGUACAUAUAGUGCUUCAAUCACCUUCUUCAUGUUUAAGCUUGACAUGAAAAAUGAUGAACGAAAAGAGAAAAGGGACCUCACCUGGGUCGCGUUGUACGGUGGCUCGAACCAUGUAGCCGCGCUCCAUGAGUCUCAUGACAAGCCAUGACCCGAUGAAACCGGUACUCCCCGUAACACAAACUGUUUUGGCUGCCGAACCCAUGCUUUCAAUUCUCUUCUCUGUUUUAUGGUUCCUGGUUUGGUAUGGCACGGAAAUAGAAUGGUAUGAAGUGUGUGGUGUGGGUGUUUUUAUAGAAAUUUUACAUGGUUAUUAAUCAUACAGAGGGUGAGACUGAGGGAGAAGAUUCAACAGAAGAAUAAUUUAGUACUAAAAGAUAUUGAGUAUAAAAGUUCUGAGUCAUAACCCUCCCUUUGAAUUCAAGUGGGAUGAUAUGAAAAACCACCAUCACUUUGAUUUUUUUUAUUUUUAUUUUUGAAACACACUUCGAAAUUAACAGCUAAUUGAAUUUUUAUAUAGACGGCCGCUUACAUUUGAAAAAGAAAAACCAAGUUCCACAAAACAGUAAGCUCAAGUCAACACAUCAGCAGUUGUAAAUUUCCAGAUACAAUCAUUUGAAAUAUCGUGAUUCCACUUUUUAACAUGCCUCAAGAUGGUUUAAUAUAUCUAAAACAACUUCCACUAUCAGUUAGAGCAAGAGCAAUUGCUUACUACAUUGUCUAGAUAUGAUAAGCACUCAUCUUCAGAAGUGAGUUCAGGUGCAGGGCUAAGAAAAAUAAGAAGCAUUUAAGAGUUGUAUAUGAUCAAACUGAAAUUAUAAAUGGUUUGUUUUGUCUUUUUGUUGAUAGUCAGCCUCUAAAUUUUGGCGAAACUAUGGAAGACAAGGUGGAGACAAGCUGUGGAGGAAGAGACCAAGGCCACUGAGAAGAAUGAGACUUGGAAAUUAUCAAAUCUUCCUAAGGAUCAUGAAGCAAUUGAAGUCGAGUGGAUGUUCAAGCUUAAGAAGAAUGUCAAAGGAGAGAGAGAGAAUAUAAAGAAAGGUUCGUUGCUAAAGGGUACAUGCAAAAACAAGUAGUGUGGUCCAAAGAUGCCUUCAAAAUAUAAAGAAAGGCUCGUUGCUAAAGGGAACAUGCAAGAACAAGUAGCGUGGUCCAAAGAUGCCUUCAAAACCUCAAAGUCUAACAUUCGUAGUUAUAAAAACUAUGGUUUUGUUCCACUUUCAAAAAAAACUAUGGUUUUGUUCAUCAUCUCACCAAUGUGGGACUUCUUUUAGUUUCAACAACUAUACAACUAUAAUGAAGUGUUUGCACCUAUUGGUCACAGCUCACAUGGAGACUAUUCGUCUUCUUUUUUUUUUUUGGUGGCUUACAUGAGGUGGAGAUUUCAACUUGAUAUCAAAUUGGCUUUCCUAAAUGACAACCUUGAGGAAGAUGUCUAUGUUGAACAAUCAAUGGAUUUUGGUUUCAAAGGGAAAGAGGAAAAAGUCCUCAAAUCGAAGAAGAUUUUGUAUGGCAUAACGCAAGCGCAGACACUGCAAAAAAAAAGCGCUGUUUAUGCGCCUAGUGGUGGUUAUAGACCUCCUCAAAUAUAUUUCCUUAGGUUAUGGGCAUUAGAAUUUUCUUUUUGGAAAACAACAGCAUUAGUACGUAUUUAGAACUGUUCUGUACUAGGGCAAGCUUAUGUAAAAGAAUGACAGAAAGUAAACCCUAGCAGAGCACUAAAAUAGCAAAACUACCAUAAAAGGAAUAUUCUCAUUAAUGCUAAAAAAGUUGGUUUCGUACAAGUGGAUGACCUCCCCUUUUAUAGAGGGGGUGGUCAUGAUAUGGAUCUUUCCUAUAUUUGGGCCUGACAAUCAGGGCCCAAAUCCCCGUACAUAUAAGACAAAUCCAAAUGAAUCUUCCAGCUGGCUUGUGGGUCCAUCACCUAAGGGAGGGCAAUGAAGCUCGUCAUGUUGCCUUUCCCGCCAUGGCUAUCUUCAUUGGUUUAUUGUUCAUUUUGGGCGGGACGUAAUCUUCUUUAUGUCCCGCCCAGUCCACAUGCCCCCAAGACAUGAGACUCGAGUAAUUGAGUCGAAAUGUCUUUAUCAUGUUACCCAGUAGUUCGCCUCUAUUGUUUAUUCGUUCAUCGCCAUUUUACUUUCGUUGUUACAUCGCCAUUUUCACGCUUCGCCACCUUUGUUGUCGUUUCAAAGAUAUGUCGCCAUUAGUUAUAACCGUCAAUCACGUCUUUUCAACUGACGCACGUAUCCUUAUUUUCCGGGAUUUCGUCAUCAUUUGUUAUAAAUGCAAUUUUCAGUUGUGCGUCUCGAGGAGUAACGUCUUUUCGCUUCCUACCUUUUCGAAUUUCAAAUCCCAAAAUCCCACGAUCUUCCCCCAUUCAUUCUCUCUCCUCCUUUCUCUCUAUAAAAAACCCCUUUUCACUUUUCAUUUUUCACUUUCUUAAAACUUUUGUCCUGAAAACCUUUUCACCGCAGCUUUCAUUCUCUUCUUUGAACUCCGGUGAACCUUUUCUUCCUCCGGCCGUCGUCAUUGCGCGGUGCUCCCCUAUCGCCGACGUUCUCCUUUCUCAAAUCCACAGUUCUUCCCCUGGUUAGUUUUUCUCUUUCCUGAGAUUCUUCGUUUACUUCUUUUUUCUCUGACUGUUCAUCUUCUUUCUUCUUGACUCUGUUCAUCUUCUUUUUACUUUUAGUUUGUUCAUCUUCUUUCUUCUUUUUAUGAAACUGCCUCGCAUGUCUUUACCAAACGCUAGCCUUUCUUCCCUAGAACUUUCUUCGCCCUCUACGGAGGAGGAAGUUGUCGCCCCCUCUAUAAUUGAAAUUCACUCCUCGCCUUCUACCCAUGAUGAUUCCGGUCCCGCCGGCUCUGUAGACUCAAUUCUCUCCUCUAAUGGAGAUUUGUCUUCACCUGAAUGGCGCUCUGACGUGCAUUUAGUUGAAAAUAAAUGUCUGUUGCAUUCUAUCUGGGGCAGCGUUGGGAGCAUUAAUUCGCUUCGAAUAUCUGCUCAAGGGUUUACGAAGAUAAAUCCCGCCACCUCGAAUAAUGAAGAUCAUCUCUUGAAUGUCCUCCCAUGUGGCGAAGAUGACUGUGUUCUGUUGCGUAAAGAACCAGCCGAUGAAUCGCCCGAUUUCUUCUUUGUUUAUGGCUAUUUCUUCUUAGACUUGAACAUCAAACUUCCUUUCUCGCCGUUUAUAUGUCACGUUCUUUCUUUUCUGAAUGUGGCGCCCUGCCAACUCCAGCCCAACGCCUGGGGUUUUCUCCGCUGCUUUGAAAUUCUUUGUGAACACUUGAGUUUCACUCCGACCUAUCCUUUGUUCUUCCUGUUCUAUAAAUCAGUCACCACUAAACCUACUUCUGUGAAAUGGGUUCCACUAUUAGCCCGUAAGAACAUGAGUCGGUUCACCGCCCUUAAAAGCCAUUACAAGGUAUGGCAGAAGAAAUACUUUAAAGUUAUGGAGUCGCCCGAAAUAAAGAACCUGUUCCGAGAUUCCGACAAUAACCCUCUCUUCCCUUUUUACUGGACAAAGAACCCUCGCCGAAAAAUAUCCGUUUCAUACGACGCCUUGGAUGAAUCUGAACAAGGCGUCGCCGAUUACCUCCGCACACUACCAGUAAUUUCUGGUCACGACUUGAUUGAGGCGUCGAAAUCCGACACUUUAAAUCAAUUUUUUAGUAAGUUUAUAAUCUUUGUACGUAACUUCUUUUCCUUUUUGUUCAUGUAUCUCGUCUAAUUGGUGUUUUCCAUACAGCUACAAUGGGAAAAGGCAAGGUUGAUGCGAACCCAAUCAAGAUGAAGGAAUACCUCGCCCAGUCUGCUGCGGCGGCGAAGAAGAGGGCCGCCGAAACUGAGCAGAAGAAGAAGAAUGAAGGUACUUCGGGUUCUGACAACGUCAGGGACCCUAAACGUCAAAAAACUUCAGGUGCUGCUGGUGGUAAGCCUCUCCAUCAAUCGACUCUUGAUUCAAAAAGUCGUCCAGCUGAGAAAAAGAAGGGACAUGACAAUGUCCCGCCCCCUCAACAAGAUUCAAGCACGCUGAUCAACCGCCCAUCAACUCCAUUUGGCCAGGCUGGCCCUAGCUCAGCCAUUGGUGGCGAAGCUCCUCCCCCCUUGCUGAACUUGUCGGAUCCUCACUUCAAUGGGCUGGAAUUCAUGACCCGUACUUUUGACAACCGGAUUCACAAGGACAUUUCCGGUCAGGGUCCCCCCAACAUUGCUUCCAUGGCGAUCCAUCACGCGCUUUCUGCCGCCAGUACUGUGGCGGGAAUGGCUCAGUGCGUGAAGGAGUUGAUCUCAGCCAAGAACCGUUUUGAGAAGAAGGCAGCUGAUUACAAGACAGCCUAUGAGCGGGCUAAAACUGAUGCUGAGACUGCCAACAACAAGCUGAAAUCUGCUGAGGAGAAGUGUGCUAAGUUAACUGAAGACUUGGCUGCUUCGGACCUGCUUCUUCAAAAGACCAAGUCUCUUAAAGAAGCCAUAAAUGACAAGCACACUGCCGUUCAAGCCAAAUAUCAGAAGUUGGAAAAGAAAUAUGAUCGCCUGAAUGCUUCCAUCCUAGGGCGUGCUUCUCUCCAAUAUGCUCAAGGCUUUCUGGCGGCCAAAGAGCAGAUCAGUGUAGUUGAGCCGGGCUUUGAUCUUUCCCGCAUUGGGUGGCUGAAGGAGAUCAAGGAUGGUCAAGUAGUUGGUGAUGAUGACAUUAGCCUCGACCUCCUUCCCCAAUUCGAUGAUGAGAGUGAGCCUGAAGAAGAUGGCGAGGAUGGGAAUGAGCAGCACAGGAAUGAGGAUCAAGGGAAGGAAGAUCCUCAAGCUGGGACAAGCCAGGGCAACAACGCCAACAACGAGAACCUGGCUUGAAUUUGUUUUUAUUUUAUGAAGUUGAAAUUUUUCUUUGGGCAUUGCCCUGUCUUUUAUUUUCAUUCCAAAUCAUGUAUGGGCAUCGCCCCCUUUUCUCUACUUUAAAUGGAUAUCAUCUUAAGUUCAUUCGUUGUUUUAGUUGUUUCCAACUUUCGUUGUUACAUACCUUAGCCGAUUUUUCGACGAGGCUUGGUUUCUAGUGGCCACUAGAAUUGCCAAGGCUUUUAACUUUUGAAGGCGAUACUCUCUUAUUCCGAAAGGUUUACUCGCGGUAUUGCAUACCUUGAUACGAUUUGCAUUGCAUGAACUCGUAAUAUAAAUUAAAAAAUAUAUGCGAUUCUGUUGAAAUGAUCUUUUCAUUAAUUUUCUUUCGUAUGGGAACAAUUGUCCCUUCCUUACAAAUGUCGCCUCAUUAAAAACCUUUCCAAAGAAAGGGAAAAAGAGUGCGACUUCAUUUACAUUUGUUGUUUCUACUAACUAAAAUACUGCUUCAGAUGAGAGGCGUUCCAUGUUCGUGGAACCUUUUGACCGCUUAGUUGUUCCAACUUAUAAGCUCCUCCUCCAACGUCGCCUAUAAUCCUGUAAGGCCCGCCCCAGUUGGGUGAAAGUUUGUUGUGUUUAUCAAGUAUUGUAUUUUUUCGGAGCACUAAGUCUCCUACCCUCAUUUUUCUUGGCAUUACUUUCGUUGAGAACUUUCUUGCCACCUUCACUUUUCCCGCCUCAUUUCUUAUGUGAGCCUCUCGUUGUUCCUCGGGCAGCAUGAUUAGAUUUGCUAUUAAGUUUUCUCCGUUGUCAUUUUCAUUAAACCGAGCCACUCGCCAACUUUGGUUUUCAAUUUCCACUGGGAGCAUGGCGUCAGUUCCAUAAGUUAGACGAUACGGGGUUUCCUUUGUGCUUGACUGUUCCGUGGUGUUGUAUGCCCAAAGAACGCCUGGUAGUUCCUCCGCCCAAAGCCCUUUUGCUUCAUCCAGUUUCUUUUUUAAACCUUUCAGGAUAACUUUGUUAGCCGACUCAGCCUGCCCGUUGGUUUGUGGAUGUUCUACAGAGGCAAAUCGCAUCUCGAUUCCCAUUUCAUCACAAAAUUCCCGGGUAACACUACUUGUGAAUUGGGUUCCAUUAUCCAUUACUAACGCCAUGGGGACCCCAAAUCUACAAAUAAUCCUUCGCCACAGGAAGUUCCUGACCUUGGCGGCUGUGAUAGUCGCCACCGCCUCGGCUUCUAUCCACUUAGUGAAGUAAUCAACCGCCACGAUGAUGUACUUCAUUUGUGCCUUCGCUACAGGGAAUGGUCCUAAGAUAUCAGUCCCCCACAUGGCGAACGGCCAGGGCGCCAUCAUGGUUGUUAAUUCUUCUGGUGGAGCCUUGUGCAAAUCAGAAAAGACUUGACAUUUUUCACAUUUCUUCACAUACUCCAAACAAUCCUUCUUCAUGGUUGGCCAAUAGAAUCCUGCUCUUAUCACUUUUAUUGCCAAGGAUCGCCCGCCGAUAUGACUAGAACACACACCUUCGUGGACUUCCGCCAUUAUUCCGAGGGCGUCCUUGGUAUCGACACAUUUGAGCAUAGGAGACAUGAUUCCCCGCCGAUACAACUCACCAUCCACCAGUGCGUAGAAACUGGCUUCCCUGCGUUUUGUUCUCGUGUUCAAAUCAUCCUCCUUUGGUGGAUUCUCUAAGAAGGUCUUAAUCGAUUCCAUCCAAGGUAGCUCGCCCUCACUGACUGACUUUACAGCUUUCAACUUUAUUUCUACCAAAUCAAUGCUCGGGCGAGGCAGGGUUUCUUGAAUGACUGUUUGGUAGUUGCCCAAUCUCCCUGUGCUUGCCAACUUCGCCAACACAUCAGCCCUCUCAUUUUGUCCCCUCGGGACAUGUUCUAUUUUGAUUUCUUUGACCUCCAUCAUCAAUCUGCGCACCACUUCCAAAUAUUUGGACAGUUGCGGAUCCUUCACCUGGUACUCGCCUUUCACUUGCUUAACCACUAACUGCGAAUCUCCUUUGAUAAAUAACUUCUGGACUCCCAACUCAAUGGCCAACCUUAAGCCGGCAAUCAGAGCCUCAUACUCAGAUUGAUUAUUGCUCGCCUUGAACUCGAACUUGAGAGACUGUUCAAUGAUCAUUUUAUCUGGACUUUCGAUUGUUAUUCCCGCCCCACUUCCAGUGUUAUUAGAGGAUCCAUCCACGGACAGGACCCAUUCUCCUUGAGUCUUCUCUCCUUCAGUGGGUGUUAAUUCCGCCACGAAGUCAAUUAAACUCUGGACUGUGACUUGGCCCCUUGGCUCAUAUUGUAUGUCAUAUUCUGAUAGCUCAACUGACCAGCUAACCAAUCGCCCUGAUAAAUCAGGCUUCUGAAGUACUUGCCUUAAGGGAACAUCAGUUUUAACUUUGACUUGGAAACUUUGGAAGUAAGGUCUGAGGCGCCUUGCAGUUUUCAGAAUCGCCAAAGCCGCCUUUUCAAUUUUUUGGUGCCGCAAUUCUGCCCCCUGUAAAGUAUGGCUCACGAAAUAUAUAACUUUCUGCUUUUUUCCUUCUUCCUUGAGCAACACCGUACUUACCGCCUUGUCAGUAACCGCUAAAUAGAGCACUAAUGGGACGCCUGGUGUUGGCUUGGAGAGUACUGGUAAUGUGGCCAAUGUUUCUUUCAAUUUGGUAAAAGCUUGUUCGCAUUCCUCUGUCCACUGAAACUUUGAAUUCUUUUUUAAACACGUGAAGAACGGGGCCGCUUUGUCACCCGCCAUUGGCAAGAAACGUGACAAGGCGGCCAUUCGCCCUGUCAAACGCUGAACCUCCUUUACACUUGUUGGGCUUUUCAUCUCCAAGAUCGCCCUUCCCUUAUCAGGGUUCACUUCUAUUCCUCUUGAUGUUAACAUAAAUCCCAAGAACUUUCCUCCCUGGAUCCCAAAAGAACACUUCUCAGGAUUCAACUUCAUUUGAUAUGUUCUUAACUGAGUAAACGCUUCUUUGAGAUCACCCCCAUGAUCACUAGCCCUGACGGACUUUACGAUCAUGUCGUCCACAUACACCUCCAUAUUCCUGCCUACUUGUUUUGAAAAAUUUUUAUCCAUAAGCCGUUGGUACGUAGCUCCUGCAUUCUUCAAACCAAAAGGCAUUGUCUUGUAACAAUAGUUCGCCUGAUUGGUCAUAAAUGCUGUACUUUCUUCAUCCGAGGGGUGCAUCAUAAUCUGAUUAUAGCCUGAAUAAGCGUCCAUGAGACUUAAAAGUUCAUUCCCUGAAGCUCCAUCCACAAGUUUGUCAACAUUGGGAAGUGGGUACGAAUCUUUGGGACACACUUUGUUCAGGCUUGCGUAGUCCGUGCACAUUCGCCAUUUCCCAUUGGCCUUCUUGACCAUUACAACAUUGGCGAGCCACGUUGGGUACUGUACCUCACGGAUGAAGCGGGCCUUGAUCAAUUUUUCAGUCUCUAAUUGUACAGCUUUGUUCUUUUCUUCACUCAUUCUUCGCCUUGGUUGGAUGACUGGGGUCGCCCCUGGUCGUAUGGCUAGUUUGUGAGUGAUCACCUUGGGAUCGAUCCCUGGCACAUCAUUGAUGGUCCAUGCGAAGAGAUCUAGAUUAUCACCCAGAAGGGUGAUUAGUCUUUCCUCUUGUUCUGCUGUCAAACUACUGCCAAUCUUUAGAAGCUUGUCCUUGACUUGCACCUGCUUGGUUUCUUCCAGAGGUUAUGGGCGAAAGUCAUCAGCAUCGUCUCUUGGGUCCAAGCUAAAUCCUUCGUGUGGGAAGAUUUCUGUAAUUCGAUGGCUCUCCUUGGCGGCCCUUUGCCCAUAGAGCGCCACGCUUCUCAAAUAGCAUUCCCUUGCUGCAUUCUGGUCUACACGCAAUAUCCCGACCUUCCCAUUGCAGGCGGGAUAUUUAACAGUUAAAUGAGCAGUUGAGAUGACCGCGCAAACCUUGUUAAGGGUGUCUCGCCCCAAGAGUACAUUGUAAUUGGCUCUACACGCCAAUACUAAGUACUUUACUUGAAAUUUCUUGACAAACUCUCCUUCUCCAAAGGCAGUCGGAAUUUCGACGUAUCCCCGCACACUGACACGGUCCCCUGUGAAUCCCACCAAAGUUCCCUUGUAUGGUUUCAAAUCUGAUUCCUUUAGUCCCAGGCGAUCAAAGGCGUCUCCAUAGAUGAUAUCCGCCGAAGAUCCCUGGUCUAAGAAUACUUUCUUUGUCACAUAAUUGUUAACCCUGAUUGUCACCACAAUUGGAUCGUUGUCAUGAGGAAUUACAUGCGCGAAAUCCUGAGGGGUAAAUAUAAUAGGGGAAUGAUUCACCCAACACUCGCCUUCGUUCGACUCCUGUACUGAGUGUACUGCCGCCACGUAGCGUUUUCUAGCCUUACUCGAAAUUGCACCCCCGCCAAAUCCUCCUGCAAUAGAUGAGCAUUCCCCAACAGGAUCGCCCAACUCUUCAACUAUUUCUUUACCUUUGCCUUUGUCCCCCUGAGUGAUCUUAGCUACCUCCGGCGUUGCUGUGUCUUUAACAAAGUUUGCCAAAUGGCCAGCUUUAAUCAAGCGAUCAAUUUCCCGCCUUAAAUUCCAACAAUUAUCUGUCGUAUGCCCCAAUGCCUUGUGGUACUCGCACCACCUAUUGGUGUCCACGUUAGCUGGCGGCCGCCGUGGUGGUGGUGGAUACUGCACAACGUUGGUCUGCCCAACUGCCCUUAAAAUGGUACUCAAGGGUGCAUUCAACUUAGUAAGUGGAACUGGUGCGGGCGAAGCACCAGUCUGACCAGCUGUGGCAGCAGUGGGACCUUGUGGAUUUCUGUGCCAUGUAUUUUGAAAGCCAGGUUUAGAGUUUUGGUAUGGUCCCGGUCUAGGUACACGGGGGGUUUGCGUUAUCCUGGUUUCCUUCCCCGCCUUGGAUUUAUCUUGUGAAACACCGCCAGAUUGAGACUGCUUGCGUCCUUCCUCUCUUUCUUGUUUCUUCUGAUCAUCUUGCUCGAUUAAUAUGAACUCUUGAACACGAGCGCGAAGAUCCAUCAUAUCCUUCGCCGGUCGCCUUGUUAAGUCUCUAUUCAAAUCUCCCGCCCGAAGGCCAUUUUUGAAUGACGCCAAACAAACAUCUGGAUUUUCAUCCUCCAACUGCACCGCCAUCUUGCUGAAGCGUGCCAUGUAGGUUUUUAAUUUCUCGCCUGGUUGUUGAUGUAUGCUGAUAAGAUCAAACAUUGUUGCUUUUGUGGUUUUAUUGGCGGAAAAUUGAGUCAGAAACUUAGUGGACAUAUCAGUGAAAUUAUCAAUGGAGAAGGGCGGUUGUCGAAUGAACCACUGCAUCGCCAUGCCUUUGAACGUGGAAGGCAAUAAUCGACAUUUUACCGCAUCCGUCGCCCCGCCGAUCACCAUUUUGGUAUUGAAAUAUCUAAGGUGCUCCAUAGGAUCAGACUCGCCCGAAAAGGCGUCUAACGCCAUGGUUUGCAUGUGCUUUGGAAUGUCCACCCUAGUGAUGGCUGGAACAAAAGGUUGGAAUUCAACUACAUCCUCCGCCUCCAGGCGUUGUUCUUGCUUAAAAUCCUGCCGCUGAGUGAGAUACUCAACUUGGGCUUGCAACUGCUCGUUUUGGGACUGCACCUUCUAUAAGGUAUCUAACAUUUGUUGCAAAGCCGCAGGCGUGAUACCUGUCACUGCCUCUUGUGCUCUCCGUGGAGCAGUGGUUUUAAAAUCUUCCAAGUUCACAUAUUCAGGCGGCGUUGAACGCCGCCGAACACCUGGAUCUAAUUUAGCGAUCAGAUCUGAAGGUCUUCUCGGAGCUGCAUUCACCAAUGACGCUGGCGACGGCGCCACUGAGUGGACCCCCUCCGAGGAAGCUUCCUGCUCCUGCUCGUCCAGUACGGGACGGUUGUUGUUUCGUCCGCCGCCGCGACCGCCAUGCCGACCACCACCGCGCCGGCGAUGAUCGCGUCGACCCAUGCCGCAUGAACGAGUCUCCAUGGCUCGCAAUUCCUCCUUCUGUCACCGGAAGAGCUGAGUCAGAGCCACAGACGGCGCCAAUGUUCUGUACUAGGGCAAGCUUAUGUAAAAGAAUGACAGAAAGUAAACCCUAGCAGAGCACUAAAAUAGCAAAACUACCAUAAAAGGAAUAUUCUCAUUAAUGCUAAAAAAGUUGGUUUCGUACAAGUGGAUGACCUCCCCUUUUAUAGAGGGGGUGGUCAUGAUAUGGAUCUUUCCUAUAUUUGGGCCUGACAAUCAGGGCCCAAAUUCCCGUACAUAUAAGACAAAUCCAAAGGAAUCUUCCAGCUGGCUUGUGGGUCCAUCACCUAAGGGAGGGCAAUGAAGCUCGUCAUGUUGCCUUUCCCGCCAUGGCUAUCUUCAUUGGUUUAUUGUUCAUUUUGGGCGGGACAUAAAUGUCCCGCCCAGUCCAAGAACCAUCUUCACAUAAUUCGUUAGUCGUUACUAACUUAGGAAUGUUUAUAUGCACUUUGAUAAUGCAGACAGUCUUUUGUUUCCAUUACUUAAUAACUAUCACUUUCUCAGUUUCUAAUAUAUAAUGCUCUGAUUAUAGAGAAGUUCUCCAACUUUCUCAGUUUCCUCUCAAGCAGCCUUCCAUAGUGAUUUUCUUCCCAUAAACUAAAGGAAUUAGCAUAAGUGCAUAACAUGAACAGUAAUCUCAUGUAGCUUCUGAGAGCAAUAAGUGAACAAUAUAUAUAGUAUAUUCAAAUGCUGCUAUAUUCCAAAGUGAUAGAAAGAACAGAGUUAUACGAACCUCACGGCUUCAACGUUGAGGAACAAAGUGAUGAAGAUGCCGCAGAAGAGGGGAAUGGGAAUGGGUAAACCAACAGGUAGAGGGAUAAGGUUGGGGAAUCGAGGUUUUGGGGAGGAAGUUGAGGGAAAGAGGAAAGUCUAUUUUUUAUAUUUUAAUUACAGUUUUGGUCCCUAAAGUAACAUAAUUAUGUGAUUCUAGUCCCCAAUUAAAAAAAUGAGCUAUUUUAAUCCUUCUGGGUUGAAGAAGAAAAGGGUGAGAGUUGAAGUAGAAGGGUUAGUUUUUUUUUUUUUAAUUGUUUUUUAUAUUUACAUUAAUUGCUGAUGUGUAUCAAAUGAUGGUGAGAAUAGAAAAAAAAGGGCUAAAUAGAAGAAAGAAAUGAGGGUGGUGUAAAUAGAAGUCCCAUGUAGACAGAAGGGGUAAGAUUUUGGACGGAAAAGCAAAACAAGUAAAAUAAUAGAAUAAAUACUCUUUUGGUCCUUGAAAUUGUAAUGGGAGUCAAACCUGGUCCAUGUAAAAUUUUCUCAUCAAAUUAAGUCCCUAAAAUUAUUUUUUUAAUCUAAUUGGGUCCAAAGUGUGUCUGAGUCUGAUGUGCCUUAUUUUUAAUCUUAGUUAGCUUUUCCACGUGGUUUUUUUUAAUAUAAUUAAUAGAUAAUCAUUUUUUUUAUUCCAACUCACUUUCCCUAAACCUAAUCUUCUUCAAGAUAUAUCAUCUUCAUCUCCUCCACAUGAUCUCCAUCUUCUUUAUUAUGAUAUACAACAAAACCCAGAAAAUAAUAAACUUAAAAUUAAAAAACUUAAAGGCUUAAUUCCAGAUUGAGCCCCUGAUGUUUCACAAAUGUGCAUUCUACAUCUCCCGUGUUUAAAAUGUGCGGUCAAGCUCCCUGAUCUAUCUAAACUGUGAGAUUGAUGGCCUUCCGUCUAUAUCUGUUUGGUUCCGUCUGUUGACCAAACAAAGCUGCUUUCAUUAAACGGAACUUACUGAUGUGGCCUACUAUUGACACCACUUUAAUAUGUAUUUGCUAUUUGCACCCUUUUUAUCACAUAAAAGAAGGGUUAUUUAUGCUCGGGGUCCCUGAACUAUAGUCAGGAAUCGGGAUACAUCCCUAAACAAAUUUUUUGUUGGUUUCCAUCCUGAAACUUAUAAAAUCGAUUGGGUUUCAUCCCUUUACCGGUUGUGGUGCUUACAUGGCACAGGUAAGUGCUGACAUGUCGGUUUUUUUAUUUCUUUAUUAUUUUUUAAAAGACUUCUAUUAUUUUUUUAAGAGAAAGAAAGAGGAGAGGGAGGACGGUUCUUGCCCAAACCCAACCAUUCCUGAACCAGCUUUUGCCAAAAGUAGCUUGGAGGACUUACUUAGUGGGGAUAUUGUACUCUGGAUACUUUGAGUUAAUUAACUUUGCAAUGUCAUGGAUAGUAGCCUCAGAUGCAGAACAGAUAAACCUUCCUUCUGAUUUAGGCAAAUUUCUUCUCUGUUUUAUUUUUACUUGUUAGGUAUGGCACGGAAAUAGAAUGGUAUGAAGUGUGUUCACUGUGUUGUGUGGGUGUUUUUAUAGAAAUUACAUGGUUAUUAAUCAUACAGAGGGUGAGACUGAGGGAGAAGAUUCAACAGAAGAAUAAUUUAGUACUAAAAGAUAUUGACUACUAUAAAAGUUCUUGAGUUAUAACCCUCUCAAGUGGGAUAAUAUAUAUAUUUUUUGAAACACACUUUGAAAUUAACAGCUAAUUGAAAUUUUAUAUAGCCGGGCGCUUAGAUUUGAAAAAGAAAAACCAAGUCCCACAAAACAAAUUCUCCAACUUUCUCAGUUUCCUCUCAAAGCAGCCUUCCAUAAUGAUUUUCUUCUCAUACUAAACUAAAGUAAUUAGCAUAAGUGCAUAACAUCUAAUAAGUCCAAUCCUACUACACUAGAUUACCAUAACAACAACCUCAAGCAUGCUUUCCCACACAAUUAGAUCAACAAUCUCAACCAUGUUUUCAGCUGAUUGCAUACCAAAGCUUCAGAACCAGUUACCAAGAAACUCUAGUUUUUAAAGUAAUAGUUGAUGCUAAGGAAGAGACAAAAUGGAAAAUGAAAAACUUCAAAGAGCUCUACGAACCUCCACCGCACCGCCGAGCUACUUCAUCACCCCAUUCAAGCCGGAGGAGCUCAACUCGCCAAGGUCGCGCAGCUUGACUCAGAGAUCAACUUUGCUGGCAUUGAUGCCCUCGACGAGAACUUCUGAUGGGUUGAGGAACAAAGUGAUGAAGAUGCUGCUGAACAGGUGAGUGUCAAUGGGUAAAGCAGGUAGAGGAUAAGGUUUAUAAACCGCCGCUUUUCGCCUUAUUUUUUGCAGCAAAUAUUUACAAGUACUUUAAUCCUAAUGAAUUUUGAUUAGAUGUUUGUGUCAAACCUUACGCUAACAUAUGACAUAGCAUUAGCAUGAUAAUUAAAUUCUUAUGUUAAAACUUUUGAUAAUUUGGCAGGUUUCGUCCUAAGCUACGUAGCUCGAUCUGUAUAGAAAGGAACCAGCAUCUCAGGUGGGUCCACCUCUUAAGACUUAGACAUAAUCCUAACGAGUUAGGUUAAUCUAAAAACUCAUUAAGCUGUUGUAAGAUCAUUUUAUAAUAGACAUAGAAUUAUGGUCAUUGCCCCUCUAUAAAAGGUAAGACCUCAUUUAUAAUAAAUCAGGUUCUCUCUUAAACUCGACAAUAGCUACACAGACCCUAAAAUCUCCAUGUUCAUGUAAGAAAAAUAUGGUGAUAAUUUAUUAUUUUACUUGUUUUGCAUUUAUGCAGGCCGACCCAACACUAAAUGAGACCUAAAGUAAAUUUUAAAGUGCGAUAUUUUUACCUAAAAAUUUUUUUUACGUAAAAACUACAAAAAUGCAGUUAUUCUCUCAUUUCAAUAUUUUUAUUUAUUAGUUAGUAACAAUUAAUUAGGAAACUGAGGACACCAAACGUGAGAUUGAGAUGGAGUUUUGUUGUUGUUGUUCUUGCCAUUAGGGGUGUACAAGGGACGAGUUUUAGUUUACCCCAACCCGGCCCUAAACAUUGACCGGACCAAUUCAUAGACCCUAACCCGUCCCUAGACUCGAAGCAACCCGACAAUAUGCGGGUCCAAUUUAGGACGGGACCGGGUUGGUCCGAGAGACAAUAAAUUUAAGACUAUUUAGUACUAAUUGUAAAAUUUAAAGAUAAUAAUAGACUAAAAGAGUUAUAAGUUAGAACUAUAUUUUAGAAGAAAGAACUUGAAAGGAUCAAAUUCUUGCAUAAUCUAUUGCACUUGAGAGGUUUACAUUUUAUUUGAUCUACAUGCACGUGCCACUUAUUUUGUUUGAUCUCUCUUCACUUGUCUCACAUGUGCAUAAUGCACAUGCAUGAUUUUCUCUUGUUAGAGCAUGAAAGUGUCCAUCUUUUGACCAACAUUUAUUUAAUUCAUUAGAUAGAUGUUCAACAUUAUCAUCUCAUCCACAUGGUAAAAUAAAUUUGAGCACCAUCCAUCACAUUUUUGAUCAUUAUAACAAAUUAAAAUAUAUAUGUGGGACGAGCCGGGUGACUCGAGUGUUAACCCGACCCGAAGUCGGAUAACUCAAUGAUCAACCUGAACCCGGUAUCUUUUAAUUAUCGGGCCGGGUUGAACCCGGCUCUAGAAGCUUGGGACAGGUUGUCGGGUAAGGCCGGGUCUUGUACACCCCUAGUUGCCGUCUGUUCAGUUUUUCAUUGAGUUUUGUUCAAUUAACUAUGGAACUUGGGAAACCAAAUGUUUGUUAGACUAGUCAAACGUGGGAUGAAUUUUUUUUUUAAUUAAUUACUUUUGGCUUAAUUACAUUUUUACCCUUGGAACCGUUAGUUUUUUGACGAAAAACUAUAUGGGGACCAAAACUGCUAACGGAGAUAAACGUCGGGUACCAUUAUGUUAUUUUUAAAUGUUGGGGACUCCUAUUGCACAUUUUUGAAACGUGAGGGACCAAAAAUACUAAUAAGCAUUUUUUUAAUUGAAACUUGAUUUUUAUGUGAGGUCUUCUUUACAAAAAUGCUAUUGGACUUAUUACAUGAAUUGAAGGUCUUUUUUUACUUGAUAAAUUUUUUUGAGAGCCUAAAGCCCUUACUUAGGCCACAUAGCUUUGGAACGACCCUGCAUUUAUGUUGAUGAUCUUAUUUUAAUGGGCAAUGCUCCAAAUUUGUUUCAAGAUUUAAAGAAAAAUAUAUCUCGUGAGCUUGUGUGAUGACUUAUUUCGAAUUUGUGUCUUACAAUUUGGGAUUAUAAUUAAAGCAAAUAUAGAAUGAUUUUUUUAUUUGUCAAGAGAGUUUGUUAUACAUUUAGAGUUAAAUGUUUUUUUUAUUGCAAUCUCAUGAACUCACGUACGAAAUAUAACUUAAAAUUGUCAAAGCUUGAUGGUGGAGAGAAGGAAGAUCCUACAUUGAUCAAGAGUCUCGUAAGAAGCUUGAGAUUCUUAACAAGUAUAAGGCUAAACAUUAUGUAUGUGGUUGGUGUUUUUAUAUCACUUUAUAAAGUCCUCAACCACUACUUAGAUAAGGCUACAAAAAUAAUACUUCAUCAAAAGCAUAAGUUUUAUAAAAAGUUAUAUACAAGUGCUUUCGACAAAGACAAAAGAUUAAACACGCACAAUAACAGCAACAACAAAAGCAAAGAAUGCAAACACAGCCAGAGGAGAAAAUCCCUUUCUCCACCGACUAGCCAAAACUCCCUCCAUGCCUUGACACCACUGAGAGUAGGCUGUUCUAAAAUCCAAUCCAAUGAGCAACCACUGUAUAUCCACUUGUUAAGUAGACAUCGUUUAACUUAUUGAAAGAUAAUCUGGCCUAAGGCCUUACAAAACUUAAACACAAAAACCUUAAUUAAUCAAGAACAGAAAUCCUAAUCAAGAAACACAAUAGGUAAAGGAGGAUCCAUAGCCAUAUCAUACAUCACAGACACAAAGAUAUAAACAAUGCAAAUUUAUUUGCCAUUGCUUGGAUUUUCUGCAGCUUUAGGAAGAAGCCCUUUUUCCUUGCACGUGUCAAUUGCUCCAGUGUACAUAUCCUCUAAGCUGUAUUUAAAUUCGAAUCCCAUGUCUUUGAUCUUCUUUGAUGAAAAUCUGACAAGCUCCAAUUCAUCUGGAAUAUUCUUGAACCUGAUGAAAAUCCAAUUCAAUAUCAGCUCAACAUGGAUGUUUAAUUAUCUUGUAGUUUUGUACAUAAAUAAGUGAUUCUGAAAGAUUUCAACUCCGGCGAAGUAGCUUGGAGGACUUACUUAGUGGGGAUAUUGUACUCUGGAUACUUUGAGUUGAUUAACUUUGCAAUGUCAUGGAUAGUAGCCUCAGAUGCACUACAGAUAUACCUUCCUUCUGAUUCAGGGUGCUCAAACAGGAAAAUAUGGGCAAGACAAAGAUCAUCCAAGUGGACAUAUUGGCCUUGCUUUAUGAUCGAAUAAUGGGCCUCGUUUCCUGCCAAUUUAGUUAUGAGCAAGACUU